rnacentral:rRNA from 1 species
UACGUAGGGGGCGAGCGUUGUCCGGAGUACUGGGCGUAAAGCGCACGCAGGCGGUCUGUUAAGUUUGGAGUGACAGUUGGUGGCUUAACUGCCAAAGUGCUUCGAAAACUGACAGACUUGAGGGCUUCAGAGGGACACGGAAUUCCGGGUGGGAGUGGUGGAAAUGCGUAGAGAUCCGGAGGAACACCAAAGGCGAAGGCAGGUGUCCUGGGGAGUACCUGACGCUCGAGGUGCGAAAGCGUGGGGAGCAAACAGGAUUAGAACCCCG